AUCCCUUCUCAAGAGUGGCAGUAUCAGUGAGCUUCCAUGGAGGUCAAUCCGAGGCGAUUAUUGCUAGUUGAAAACUUAACUAAUUCCCGCCUUGGACGACCUGAAAUAUAGUCGGCAAUGGCAAUUUUGAUGGUCUCUAUGGAGA